UUACGGCCAAAUCACGUUGGAAUACCGAUUCCCGAAAAAUCACCGAAGUUAAGCAACAUCAAGCCUGGUCAGUACCUAGAUGGGUGGCCGCUUGGAAAUACCAGGUGCU